rnacentral:rRNA from 1 species
GACGAACGCUGGCGGCGUGCCUAAUACAUGCAAGUAGAACGCACAGUUUAUACCGUAGCUUGCUACACCAUAGACUGUGAGUUGCGAACGGGUGAGUAACGCGUAGGUAACCUGCCUGGUAGCGGGGGAUAACUAUUGGAAACGAUAGCUAAUACCGCAUAAUAUUAAUUAUUGCAUGAUAAUUAAUUGAAAGGUGCAAUUGCACCACUACCAGAUGGACCUGCGUUGUAUUAGCUAGUAGGGGAGGUAACGGCUCACCUAGGCGACGGUACAUAGCCGACCUGGGAGGGGGAACGGCCACACUGGGACUGAGACACGGCCCAGGCUCCUACGGGAGGCAGCAGGAGGGGAACUUUGGGAAUGGACGAAAGUCUGACCGGGCAACGCCGCGGGGGGGAAGAAGGUUUUCGGAUCGUAAAGAUCUGUUGUAAGGGAAGAACGGGAGUGAGAGUGGAAAGUUCACACUGUGACGGUAUCUAACCAGAAAGGGACGGCUAACUACGUG